GUGUUAUGUAGUUGUGUUGUCAUGUUGUGAAUGUUGUAUUGUAGUAAUCCUCAACUGUAUUUAAUGGUGUUAUGUGGUUGUGUUGUCAUGUUGUGAAUGUUGUAUUGUAGUAACCAACUGUAUUUAAUGGUGUUAUGUAGUUGUGUUGUCAUGUUGUGAAUGUUGUAUUGUAGUAACCAACUGUAUUUAAUGGUGUUAUGUAGUUGUGUUGUCAUGUUGUGAAUGUUGUAUUGUAGUAACCCUCAACUGUAUUUAAUGGUGUUAUGUGGUUGUGUUGUCAUGUUGUGAAUGUUGUAUUGUAGUAACCAACUGUAUUUAAUGGUGUUAUGUAGUUGUGUUGUCAUGUUGUGAAUGUUGUAUUGUAGUAACCAACUGUAUUUAAUGGUGUUAUGUAGUUGUGUUGUCAUGUUGUGAAUGUUGUAUUGUAGUAACCCUCAACUGUAUUUAAUGGUGUUAUGUAGUUGUGUUGUCAUGUUGUGAAUGUUGUAUUGUAGUAACCAACUGUAUUUAAUGGUGUUGUGUAGUUGUGUUGUCAUGUUGUGAAUGUUGUAUUGUAGUAACCAACUGUAUUUAAUGGUGUUAUGUAGUUGUGUUG
rnacentral:lncRNA from 1 species